rnacentral:tRNA from 1 species
UGAGAGGAAGAGUCUGGUGGCUCAGUCGGUCUUCAAAACCGAUAGCGGGCGGAUAAUACCGUCGGUGACAGGUUCGAUUCCUGUCCUCUCAGCCA